GCGCCUUACAUGCAAGUCGAACGGCAGCGGACCUUCGGGUGCCGGCGAGUGGCGAACGGGUGAGUAAAGUAUCGGAACGUACCUUUCAGUGGGGGAUAACGUAGCGAAAGUUACGCUAAUACCGUAUAUUCUGUGAGCAGGAAAGCAGGGGAUCGCAAGACCUUGCGCUGAUUGAGCGGCCGAUAUCAGAUUAGCUAGUUGGUGAGGUAAAGGCUCACCAAGGCGACGAUCUGUAGCGGUCUGAGAGGAUGAUCCGCCACACUGGAACUGAGACACGGUCCAGACUCCUACGGGAGGCAGCAGUGGGGAAUUUUGGACAAUGGGGGCAACCCUGAUCCAGCCAUGCCGCGUGAGUGAAGAAGGCCUUCGGGUUGUAAAGCUCUUUCGGCCGGGAAGAAAUCGCGCAGGCUAAUAUCCUGUGUGGAUGACGGUACCGGAAUAAGAAGCACCGGCUAACUACGUGCCAGCAGCCGCGGUAAUACGUAGGGUGCGAGCGUUAAUCGGAAUUACUGGGCGUAAAGCGUGCGCAGGCGGUUUUGUAAGACAGGCGUGAAAUCCCCGGGCUCAACCUGGGAACUGCGCUUGUGACUGCAUCACUCGAGUACGGCAGAGGGGGGUGGAAUUCCACGUGUAGCAGUGAAAUGCGUAGAGAUGUGGAGGAACACCGAUGGCGAAGGCAGCCCCCUGGGCCGAUACUGACGCUCAUGCACGAAAGCGUGGGUAGCAAACAGGAUUAGAUACCCUGGUAGUCCACGCCCUAAACGAUGUCAACUAGGUGUUGGGUG
rnacentral:rRNA from 1 species